UUAAAGAUUAAGCCAUGCAAGUGUUAGUAUAGGUGAUUAUACAGCGAGACUGCGGAUAGCUCAUUAAAACAGUUCGAAAAGAAUCGAUGAAAAGGACAACUUGCAAAAGUUGGAAGUGGAUAUUAAAUGUAAUUCAUUUGAUAAUACAUGUGACUUGGAAAUACAAUGUGUCAAAGCAUUGUACGUAUUUAUUAUGAAAAUUAGGGAGUGCCACUGUAAUAGUAAAAUAUUAUGGCCCUAUUGAUUGACAAUGAAAUUUAUAAAUUGACAAAUCUAAAUGUGUUUACUCGAAUAUUUAGAUAAAAUGAACUUCAGACUGAUCCAUCAAAUCAUUCGUGGUAUCUUUGACUACGGAGUUUAUCACGGAUAGAUUUUAUCUGCUAUGUCUGGAAUGAGAACAAUUUAAAACCAUUAACGAGGAACUAUUGGAGGGCAAGUCUGGUGCCAGCAUCCGCGGUAAUUCCAGCUCCAAGAGCGUAUUUGAAAAUUGUUGCUGUUAAAACGCCCGUAGUUGAAUGUAGAUAAGGUUCUUUCACUUAAGAGAAAUGAAUUAGGCUAGUGUUUGUCCUUAACUGUAAAAGGUUAAGGUUUGUUUAGAUAGGAUUCGCUUUGAAUAAAUUAGAGUGCUCAGAGCAAGCGAUUAUCGCUUGAAUAUAUUAGCAUGGUACGACGAAAUUUGAUAAAUCUGAAUUUUUGGUACAACUACAGUAACGAGCUUAAUUUUGAGAUGGAUAAUAGGAGUGUUAAAGCUUUUAUUAUUCGUGAAGUCUCUUUAUUAAGAAACGAUUGUAGCGAGUGCAGAUUUAUAAUGAUUAAAAGGGGCAAAUGGGGUAAUUCAUAUUGACUGGGUAGAGGUGAAAUUCUAUGAUCCAGUCAAGAUGCACUAAUGCGAAAGCAUUUUACCAAAAUGUUUUCUUUAAUCAAGGACGAAGGUUGUGGGCGCGAAGAUGAUUAGAUACCGUUGUAGUCACAACAGUAAACGAUGUUGAUUUAGGAUUGUGAAAAGUUAAUAUUAUGACUUUUACAGCACUAUGUGAGAAAUCAAAAUAUUUAAACUCAGGGGGAAGUAUGGACGCAAGUCUGAAACUUAAAAGAAUUGACGGAAGAGCACCACCAGGCGUGGAAUCUGCGGCUUAAUUUGACUCAACACGGGGAAACUUACCAGGUUAGGAUUUAAAAAGGAUUGACAGACUGAUCGCUCUUUCAUGAUAUUAAAGAUAGUGGUGCAUGGCCGUUUUUAGUUGGUGUUUUGAAAUGUCUGGUUUAUUCUGAUAACGAACGAGACCUCAUUCUAUUAAAUAGUUUGUAGGUUAGAGCAAUCUUAAAGAUACUCUUUACGUUAUAGUAAAUGGAAGAGAGACAAUAACAGGUCUGUUAUGCCCUUCGAUAUCCUGGGCUGCACGCGCGUUACAAUGAAAUAUUCAAUGAGUUAAUCGAAUCCAAAAGGAUUGAGGAAAUCUUAUAACCCAUUUCGUGAUGGGGAUUGUGUUUUGCAAUUAUCGCACAUGAACGAGGAAUGCCUUGUAUUGGCUUGUCAUCAACAAGCUAAGAAUAAGUCCCUGCUCUUUGUACACACCGCCCGUCGCUCCUACAGAAGAGUAGUAAGAUGAGGACUGUGGACUUUUGACAUUGAAGGAAAUAAUCAGUUCUAAACUGAUCCUGAUUGUUACAGUGGAAACAUUGUAAUCUUAGAGAAAUUUGUUCGAAUCUUUUUACUUUGAUGAAGGAGAAGUCGUAACAAGGUCCUCGUAGGUGAACCUGC
rnacentral:rRNA from 1 species